AGCCACAGUCCGCCUUUUCAGAGCCUCGAAGGCUUCGUUGAUCUUCUUCAGCCUCCUCCGCUCCCGCAGCGUGGCCGCUUUCCGCCGUUUCUUCACUGCUUCUCUGGAGGUGUUUGGAAUGAGAUGGAGAUUAGAUCAAUUUACUGAACCAGGGCUCUUCAUGGAAAACUGGAGGGACAGAGGAGUGGAGUUUGGAAACUGUGAAGAUACAGUGAAGAUUAUGGAUGUGUAAAGCUCCCUUCCCAGCAGUAACGUAGGCAUUGCUAAAACAGCACAUCGCAAAACCAUGAGGUGGUUAUGUUGAAAUUAGCCCAUUUUAUACAGAAAUUGUAUUAAGCUGUUUCAUUAUUGAUUGCCAGAUACUCUUUGACAUAUGGAUGUGCCAAUUUAAUGAGCUAUUUGAUUACAUGACUAAUAUAAAGUUAAUCAGCUGUAGUCAAAUGUAGGCAUUGCUUGAUCCGACUUAAUUCUUGGUGCUGCAUUAAUGCAGUCCUUAAUUAUUCCAUGCACACGUGGAAUUAAAAUGCAUAAACAUCUGAAAUGAGAAUAUCUUAAGAUAGUUCUCUUUCCAAAAUGCAAACAAAAUACUGGAAGUAAUGCAAUCCUGUGAUUGUCUUGUAGAUUUCUCCAUUCCUCAUGAAGUAAUAUACAUUUUCUGUCAUCUGUAAUUUCAAAUUUUUGUUCAUUAUAUUUUGAGUAUUGUUCUGUCUUUGUAGACAAACAAUUUAGCUCAUAAGUGUUGAUUUCUCCAUUAUUUGUCUUUUGAGAUUUUGCUCUCCAUUUUCUUCUGCUUUCCUCUACCCACAUUGCUGUCACCUGAACAAAUAAAGUUUGUCUCACAUACAUUAUUACUGCUUGCUGGAGUUCCUUUGGUGGAUGCGUCAGUCUUCUGAUAGUGUCUGGUAAGUAUAGAAUGAUGUUUUCCUGUCCUGCCAUGUUUCUGGCCUUGCAGACAUCAUUGCUACUCCCAGGCAUUCCCUUCCAAAUUCUUUCUUAGGUACAACAAUUGGCUUUGCUGGGUCAUUCUCAGCUUUGGAGCACAGGUAUGCUUAGAUACAAAGCAUGUUUUCCAGGGCUGGGUUUUGCGGUUCACAAGGUGAUCUCAGUUUUACCUCUAAAUGUGAGCUAGUCCGUUCCAAGGCCCAGGUAUUGUUAUAUUUAAUCCUUUCCAGUAGAUAUUUGUUCUUGUGUCUAUAAAGAGCUCUUUCCCACCCUCAGAGAAAUGAAGUUUUAGUUUACAUCUUUGCUUAUUUAAGAUUUAUUCUAGACAUUCCAUACUUUUUUAACUGGUAUUUGUUGCUAGCUAUUUAUAUACUCCUGCUAUUGUCAUCUUACUGCUAUCAUCCGAAUUUCCAUAAAUAUGUUGCUGACUGAUUUGAAUGUUAUGUUCACAGCUUGUACUUCGGGUACUCCGACAUGUGACCAUUUCCUUUCCAAGUGUCAGUCAUCUUCUGUUCUCUCUGUAACUUUUCACAAGUCUUCUGCUUGCUGUGCAUCCAAAUA